GCCUACGGGGGGCAGCAGUGAGGAAUAUUGGUCAAUGGGCUUACGCCUGAACCAGCCAAGUCGCGUGAGGGAAGACUGCCCUAUGGGUUGUAAACCUCUUUUGUCAGGGAGCAACGCCGGCUACGUGUAGCCGGACUGAGAGUACCUGAAGGAAAAGCAUCGGCUAACUCCGUGCCAGCAGCCGCGGUAAUACGGAGGAUGCGAGCGUUAUCCGGAUUUAUUGGGUUUAAAGGGUGCGUAGGCGGAAUGCCAAGUCAGCGGUAAAAUCGCGGGGCUCAACAUCGCUCCGCCGUUGAAACUGGCGG
rnacentral:rRNA from 1 species